GUCUGUGGCCAUAUCACCCUGAACACACCCCAUCUCAUCCAAUCUCAGAAGCUAAGCAGAGUUGAACCUGGUUAGUAUUUGGAUGGGAGACAUCACAGAUCUCACCCAAAACCAAAGAGUGGAGAGAUGGACU
rnacentral:rRNA from 1 species